UAACCUGCCUUGUACAGGGGGAUAACAGUUGGAAACGGCUGCUAAUACCGCAUAAGCGCACAGCAUCGCAUGAUGCAGUGUGAAAAACUCCGGUGGUAUAAGAUGGACCCGCGUUGGAUUAGCUAGUUGGUGAGGUAACGGCCCACCAAGGCGACGAUCCAUAGCCGACCUGAGAGGGUGACCGGCCACAUUGGGACUGAGACACGGCCCAAACUCCUACGAGAGGCAGCAGUGGGGAAUAUUGCACAAUGGGCGAAAGCCUGAUGCAGCGACGCCGCGUGAAGGAAGAAGUAUCUCGGUAUGUAAACUUCUAUCAGCAGGGAAGAAAAUGACGGUACCUGACUAAGAAGCCCCGGCUAACUACGUGCCAGCAGCCGCGGUAAUACGUAGGGGGCAAGCGUUAUCCGGAUUUACUGGGUGUAAAGGGAGCGUAGACGGAUGGACAAGUCUGAUGUGAAAGGCUGGGGCUCAACCCCGGGACUGCAUUGGAAACUGCCCGUCUUGAGUGCCGGAGAGGUAAGCGGAAUUCCUAGUGUAGCGGUGAAAUGCGUAGAUAUUAGGAGGAACACCAGUGGCGAAGGCGGCUUACUGGACGGUAACUGACGUUGAGGCUCGAAAGCGUGGGGAGCAAACAGGAUUAGAUACCCUGGUAGUCCACGCGGUAAACGAUGAAUGCUAGGUGU
rnacentral:rRNA from 1 species